AGUGAACGCUGGCGGUAGGCUUAACACAUGCAAGUCGAACGGCAGCACAGUAAGAGUUUGCUCUUACGGGUGGCGAGUGGCGGACGGGUGAGGAAUAUAUCGGAAUCUACUUUUUCGUGGGGGAUAACGUAGGGAAACUUACGAUAAUAUCGCAUACGACCUACGGGUGAAAGCAGGGGAUCUUCGGACCUUGCGCGAUUGAAUGAGCCGAUGUCGUAUUAGCUGGUUGGCGGGGUAAAGGCCCACCAAGGCGACGAUACGUAGCUGGUCUGAGAGGCUGAUAGGCCGCACUGGAACGUGAACACGGUCCAUGCGCCUACGAUAGGCAGCAGUGUGGAAUGUGAGACAAUAGGCGCAAGCCUGAUCCAGCCAUACCGCGUGGGUGGAAGAGGCCUUCGGGUUGUAAAGCCGUUUUGUUGGGAAAGAAAAGCAGCAGGUUAAUACCCCGCGGUUCUGACGGUACCCAAAAAAUAAGCACCGGCUAACUACGUG
rnacentral:rRNA from 1 species